UACGGGGGGGGCAAGCGUUGUUCGGAAUUACUGGGCGUAAAGGGCUCGUAGGUGGCCAACUAAGUCACACGUGAAAUCCCUCGGCUUAACCGGGGAACUGCGUGUGAUACUGGAUGGCUUGAGUUUGGGAGAGGGAUGCGGAAUUCCAGGUGUAGCGGUGAAAUGCGUAGAUAUCUGGAGGAACACCGGUGGCGAAGGCGGCAUCCUGGACCAAUACUGACGCUGAGGAGCGAAAGCUAGGGGAGCAAACGGG
rnacentral:rRNA from 1 species